rnacentral:rRNA from 1 species
UACGUAGGGUGCGAGCGUUGUCCGGAAUUACUGGGCGUAAAGAGCUCGUAGGCGGUCUGUCGCGUCGGAUGUGAAAACCCAGGGCUCAACCCUGGGCCUGCAUUCGAUACGGGCAGACUAGAGUUCGGUAGGGGAGACUGGAAUUCCUGGUGUAGCGGUGAAAUGCGCAGAUAUCAGGAGGAACACCGGUGGCGAAGGCGGGACUCUGGGCCGAUACUGACGCUGAGGAGCGAAAGCGUGGGGAGCAAACAGG